GACGAACGCUGGCGGCGUGCUUAACACAUGCAAGUCGAACGGCAAGGCCCUUCGGGGUACACGAGUGGCGAACGGGUGAGUAACACGUGGGUGAUCUACCCUGCACUCUGGGAUAAGCCUGGGACACUGGGUCUAAUACCGGAUAGGACCGCGCACUGAUGGUGCGCGGUGGAAAGCUUUUGCGGUGUGGGAUGGGCCCGCGGGCUAUAAGCUUGUUGGUGGGGUAAUGGCCUACCAAGGCGACGACGGGUAGCCGGCCUGAGAGGGUGGCCGGCCACACUGGGACUGAGAUACGGCGCAGACGCCUACGUGAGGCAGCAGUGGGGAAUAUUGCACAAUGGGCGCAAGCCUGAUGCAGCGACGCCGCGUGGGGGAUGACGGCCUUCGGGUUGUAAACCUCUUUCAGUAGGGACGAAGCGCAAGUGACGGUACCUAUAGAAGAAGCACCGGCCAACUACGUGCCAGCCGCCGCAGUAA
rnacentral:rRNA from 1 species